rnacentral:rRNA from 1 species
AUUGAACACUGGCGGAAUGCUUUACACAUGCAAGUCGAGCGGCAGCACGGGGGCAACCCUGGUGGCGAGCGGCGAACGGGUGAGUAAUACAUCGGAACAUGCCCAGUCGUGGGGGAUAACACUUCGAAAGAAGUGCUAAUACCGCAUACGUCCUGAGGGAGAAAGCGGGGGAUCUUCGGACCUCGCGCGAUUGGAGUGGCCGAUGUCAGAUUAGCUAGUUGGUGGGGUAAAGGCCUACCAAGGCAACGAUCUGUAGCUGGUCUGAGAGGAUGAUCAGCCACACUGGGACUGAGACACGGCCCAGACUCCUACGGGAGGCAGCAGUGGGGAAUUUUGGACAAUGGGGGCAACCCUGAUCCUGCCAUUCCGCGUGAGUGAAGAGGGCCUUCGGGUUGUAAAGCUCUUUCGGCAGGAACGAAACGGCGAGCUCUAACAUAGCUUGCUAAUGACGGUACCUGAAGAAGAAGCACCGGCUAACUACGUGCCAGCAGCCGCCGUAAUAC